rnacentral:tRNA from 1 species
GCGGAUGUGGCGGAACUGGUAGACGCACCAGAUUUAGGUUCUGGCGCCUUGGCGUGGGGGUUCGAGUCCCUCCAUCCGCACCA